rnacentral:rRNA from 1 species
GAGUUUGAUUCUGGCUCAGAACGAACGCUGGCGGCGCGCCUAACACAUGCAAGUCGAACGAGAAGGCGUAGCAAUACGCUUGUACAGUGGCAAACGGGUGAGGAAUACGUGGGUGACCUACCCUGGAGCGGGGAAUAACUUGCCGAAAGGUGGGCUAAUACCGCGUACGCUACCUGAUCUGCGGGUUGGGUAGGAAAGCCGUACCGAGGGUACGGCGCUCCAGGAUGGGCUCACGUCCUAUCAGCUUGUUGGUAGGGUAACGGCCUACCAAGGCAACGACGGGUAGCUGGUCUGAGAGGACGAUCAGCCACACUGGCACUGCGACACGGGCCAGACUCCUACGGGAGGCAGCAGUGAGGAAUAUUGCGCAAUGGGCGAAAGCCUGACGCAGCGACGCCGCGUGGGGGAUGAAGGUCUUCGGAUUGUAAACCCCUUUCAGGAGGGAAGAUGGGGCGGGGCAACCCGUUCGGACGGUACCUCCAGAAGAAGCCACGGCUAACUUCGUGCCAGCAGCCGCGGUAAUACGAAGGUGGCAAGCGUUGUUCGGAUUUACUGGGCGUAAAGAGACCGUAGCGGUUCGGU